GUACACUAUGGUUCCAGCCUUCACCUGGUGACACUGAGACUCUGCGAGGCAUCAUGAGCUCUGGGAACCUCCUCCUCCCUUUCCUCUGCCCUGCGGCUGUGUCAGCUUCCUGUCUUUGCAGUCUGGAUUCCUCACCACCCUCUGGCUGGCCUCUCAGCAUCUCCAUCCCUUGUGUAAUUGAUCCCUGCAUCAAAGUCCUGUUUGGAAUUCUCUGGUGGUUUCUGUUUCCUGGUUAGAUCCUGACUGAUACACUGGCCUCGGCAGCUGGUCAGCUCCGAUUCCUGGAAGAGAGCUGCUAAGGACCGGUCUGGGGACACCUUGCUUAGAGAGGUCUGUGGGGAAACAAGCCGACUUCAGGACAGCUGAGUGUGUGGCUUACUGGACUCCAUCCUCUCCAGAACUACAUAAGCUGUUAUCUUAAUGGAGGGACUUUAAUGGAGGAAUUGAUUUGGGGUGGGGUGAAGAAUUCACUAAAACAGAAGCAUCAAUGACACCAGAGAGCAGAGAAAGCUCAAGUCCACUUAGUUUAGAAAUAACCAAGUGUUCUGGUGGGAGCUCAUGCAUCACUGAAUUACUGUGGCAUUCUCGAGCCCCAUAUAAUGUUUGUACCUUGUGUCUGGUUCAAAUAGAACAGAAAAUAAUGGAGCGAGUGCCUCUAAUUUAAUAUUCUUAUAUUUCCACCACAUCAAAUUCCCACUAGGACAAAUGUAUACAAAUGAAUCAUUAUAAUUUUUCCCCCUUUUACCCUAGCUGAGCCACUUGGGCCUCUGCUAAGAAAUGAUGAUAAAAGUGAUGAAAACAAAGCAUCACAUUAUAAUGUCAUUUUAAAAAAUAAAAGAUUUCCAGGAGAUCCUUUGUUGUGUUGGAAGAACACAAGCUGCAUGUUUAAAUGACUUUUUUUCCUCUUGGAUAAUCAGAGAGUAAUGUAACCAAAAUAAUCUUCGACUGCUGCUGAGGUCAUCAUUUACUUCCUGCUGACACGUUGAGCUGGUCAGAGAGCACAGGCUCUCAAAGGGAGUAUAGUCCUGGAGACACCAGAGGAGGUGUCAUUCAGACUGCUGGUGCUUCCCUCAGAGACAACAGGGGCAUCAGAGCCCUAAGCUGACAUGUAAGGCAUCUGACUACCGUGAAGCCAAUACAUUGGAAAGGUCACAUGGAGGAGCUCCAGCUGACAGUCUCAGCAGAGCCCAGUUUCAAGCCAUCCCUGCAAGGUAUCAGCCAUAUAAAUGAAUCAGCCUAGCUGCCAGUCAAGUAUCUUUGCACAGCUUCCAUCAAUGCCUCAUGAAAUGGAAGAUUGACUAGCCAAGCCUUUCCUAAAUUCCUGACCCACAAAAUAUAAAUAUAAUAAAAUGGUUGUUAUUUUAA